CCUAUAGCGUGAUACGGAGUCUGAUUCAAAGAUGUAUUGAGUCAUAAAAGUUAGAAUAACUCGCGUUUAGCGAUGAUAUGUUCCGUUACAAAGUUGCUAGUAAACCUGUAAAUAUGAAAUGAUGCAUAUUGAAAUUUUAUAAAUAGUACUCCCUCAUUUCAAAUUUUGGUUAAACUGAGAUGCUUUGACUAAAUGUCUUAUAAAAAUUUGAGAUGGAGGGAGUAAUAGCUUAGCAGUUUUGCCAAGGCCUUGUUUACUUCCACUCAAAACUUAAACUUUUUUAAGAUUUCUAGUCACAUCGAAUCUUUAGACGCACGCAUGGAGUAUUAAAUAUAGACAAAAAUAAAAAAUAAUUACACAGUUUGGUCGAAAUUUACGAGACGAAUCUUUUGAGCCUAGUUAGUCCAUAAUUGGCCAAUAAUUACCAUAAAUAAACGAAAGUGCUACAGUUACUUGUAAUCUUCAAUGAGUGAUGUCUUGCUCAUCGUUUCCAUAUUUCGAUUCUGUCAACGCUCCAACAACCAACCAUACCAAUUCUAUUCUCAAAAUCGAGUAGCCGGACAAACACACACAUAUAUGUACCUAAUAUUAAGGAGCUAAAAUUUCUUCCUCUUUUUUUCUGCUUCUCAUAUUUUUAUUGUCCACCUUUUACUGUUUUUUCCCGGCUGCUCUGUGUCCGUGAUUUUCAGCCUCUUGUUUUCUGCUUGGCUCUCCUUCGGACUCUGCUUGCAGCUUGGCCUUUUAGUCUGGUAUUUUGUCUUGUUUCCGUUGUUUUUUAGUUCUGUGUUUUUCUUCUUCUUUUUGUUGUUUCUCCAUUCCGACUCCGUCUUUUAGUAGGGUAUUUUGUCUUCUUUACGUUGUUUUUUAGUUUUUUUUUUCUUUUCGUUGUUUCUCCAUUCCGGCACCACUCAGUUUCCUAUCUGGUGUUUUCUUUUUCUUAUUCCGCUUUUCCUUCUUGAACUCAAUUCUGUUUUUUUUAUUUCUCAUAAAUGUAAAUAACAAAUAAUAAAUACAAUAGUAUUGUCUUCUGAAUCAUUGAUCCUUCCAUAAAAAUAUAUUAUAGUUUGAAUUAAAAACAAAACUCAUUUUUUAUUAAAAUAUAGAUCAACUAGUGGUUCAACAAAUCAAACUAUGAAUUAAAAUCUUAAACAGUUUGUUGUCUAAUCUAGUCUAAAUAAAUGUUGCAAACCCCUAGAAGGAUUACAAUGUGAAAAUUAGAGAUGUUUUCUGUAGUCAUCAUCGACGAGUAGAAUUAGAAUUAAAUUAUGGGUCAUCAAAAAAGUGAUGAAGCUUAAUAUUCCAUUGUGGUAACACAUGGAUAGUAUGAAAAUUAAAUUUAAGAUAUAUUUCUGUCUAAAUACUUAGUGCUUUGAGAGGACUACAAUGUGGAAAAUCUAGAGAUGUCUCUCCCGACAUAAUCAUCAGUGGAUAGACCAAUUCGUAAUAAGUUGGAAACCAACUCCUUGCUAUAUUUAAUCAUAUUAUAAUUACAUAUAUCUAAGGGUCCUAAAAGAGUCACGAAACUCAAUAUUUUAGUUGAGGCAACACAUGGAUAGUAUGAAAAUUAAAGUUAUGAUAUAUUUAUAUCUAAAUAUUUCAGCAUUUUGCAAUGGAAAAGAAAACAUCUAUGAAGGUUGUUAUUUAAUUCAAUAUAAGUUUAAUAGGAUGUUGUUAUAUUUUUACCAACAUCAAUAUCAUGAUCAUCAUAAAAUAAAUAAAUUUUGAUUUAACAUUUUUAUAAAAAAAAUAUAAAAUAAAUAAAUUGUUACAACACACGGGCAUGUUUUGCAUGCAUAAUAUUUAAAAGCUAAGGGAUUCUUUUAUCCUUUUCUUUUUAGUUUUCAUACUGAUCUCAAACUGUCUAGGUUUAAAAAAAACAAACGGCUUUGAAAAUUUGAGGGAGGAUAAAAAAAAUCGGUUUUUGUAAAUGAAAGAAGGUAAAUUAGGCCUUGUUUAGUUCACAAAAGUUUUGGGUUUUGGCUACUGUAGCACUUUCGUUUUUAUUUGACAAACAUUAUCCAAUCACGGAGUAACUAGGCUCAAAAGAUUCAUCUCAUAAAUUACAGGUAAACUGUACAAUUAGUUUUUAUUUUUGUUUAUAUUUAAUGCUUCAUGCAUGCGAUCAAGAUUUGAUGUGACGAAGAAUCUUGAAAAUUUUUACGAAGCCUUAGACGACAGCUAAAGUCGAGGGGUGAAAAGAACUUUUCCUUUUAUAGCCCGGCCUAACUAUUGGGCCGCCGGUGUCAUCAACGUGUGUUGCUUGGAGAUCCAAGCCGUACAGCAUGGCAUGGACUCGUCCGGAGCUUUUUCUCGCAGAACCACCUGGUCCAUGUCCGUAGGCACGUCCAAGUGCUACUACACAGAACGGUUUCAUUUCAUGACAGGAUGAUUCGAUUCGAUGAUACGAAACUAGCCAGAC
rnacentral:lncRNA from 1 species